CUGCCCACUGGACUGCAGAUAGACCUCGACACAGUCACAGGCCCUGCUGCCCGUCGUGCCCACCAUGCCUGGCUGCUCCCGAGUGGCCAAUACAUAGAGCCCAGGGCACUACACAUGCUUUGGAGCGCUUCAGGCCAACCUUGCAUCAGAGACAUCGAAGGGAAAAUAACACAUAGAAAAGCAGCAGGAGGAGGAGUGAAAAAGAAUGAUCGAGAAAGGCCAGUAACCCCGCUCAGCCCAGGCUCCAGAUCUGCUAUUGGGAUCAGAUCAGGAUCUCCAUCUCCAGUGUAUGAAAUCAAGUACUUGGGUAGGGGCUCCCUGGGAAUGGUUUAGAGCAUGUUUCUCAGCCUGGAGUGACUCUGUCCCUCAGGGAACACUGGUUGUCACUUCUAGGGGGAGGUUUGAUCCUGGGAUCUAGUGGGGGGAGGCCAGGGAUGCUGAUGAACAUGCUGAAAUGCACAGGACAGGCCCCCCACUCCAAAUAACUAUUUCGCUCCCAAAUGUCAACAGUGACAAGGCUGAGGAACCCUGGUUUAGAGCAGGGAAGACUCCACGUUUGGGGAGUAGUGGUGGUGUCCGGGGUAAGAUUUGGAAGAGAGUUUGACUAUGGAGAGAGGUUUGUUAGGGAUGCUAGUAAUGGGGCCCCUCAGAAGGUGGGGCUAGAAGCUUGUAGCGCUGACAGCAUAUGUUUUGAAUCUAAUGGGUUCUUCCAGAGAAAGGGGCCCCGGAAGUUUGGCCAGGAAUGUGGAGGCAACUCUGUGGAACAGGAGGGACCCCAGAAUAAGGGCCGGACCCCAGAACCCUGCUCUCGUAGGCGAGGACUGAGCCUGCGACAGAUGCGUCUCCACACGCCCUCGGCGUCGCAGACUUCGUGGAAGUAGUGGCAGGUCUGGCCCAGAGCGACUACAUCUCUGACUGGGAGGA